CACACAAACAAAGAUUUGUGGUCUAACUUUGUGACAUCACAAUGAAUGAUGAGAAGCAGCUCUUCAGGCUGACAUACGGCCAAAAGGCAGCAUUGUCCACAGUCACUACAAGCAAAGCAGAGACAUGGCCGUUUCUCAGAAAUUAAGAUCAUUCCUGACAUAGGCCAUUCCCACUUCAUUGAUGUAAAGCAAGAGAAGGGGACUGAAUCACCUACCCAGGAGAAUCACGAUGCAGAGCAGAAUGGCAACGAGUGCUCCUGUGCUAAGACCCGCUGGAAGGAGCAAAGCUUCAGCAUUGCAAGACUGCAUGUUCCCUCGGCUGUCACAGGUGCACACCCGGAUAGUCAGUGUGCCAGUGCUGCUUUGGAUGGGGUAGUCAUUGUCAAAUAUUACUACUGGCAGGA